AGAGUUUGAUCCUGGCUCAGAUUGAACGCUGUCGGCAGGCCUAACACAUGCAAGUCGAGCGGAUGAGAAGAGCUUGCUCUUUGAUUCAGCGGCGGACGGGUGAGUAAUGCCUAGGAAUCUGCCUGGUAGUGGCGGACAACGUUCCGAAAGGAACGCUAAUACCGCAUACGUCCUACGGGAGAAAGUGGGGGAUCUUCGGACCUUACGCUAUCAGAUGAGCCUAGGUCGGAUUAGCUAGUUGGUGAGGUAAAGGCUCACCAAGGCGACGAUCCGUAACUGGUCUGAGAGGAUGAUCAGUCACACUGGAACUGAGACACGGUCCAGACUCCUACGGGAGGCAGCAGUGGGGAAUAUUGGACAAUGGGCGAAAGCCUGAUCCAGCCAUGCCGCGUGUGUGAAGAAGGUCUUCGGAUUGUAAAGCACUUUAAGUUGGGAGGAAGGGCAGUAACCUAAUACCUUAGUGUUUUGACGUUACCGACAGAAUAAGCACCGGCUAACUCUGUGCCAGCAGCCGCGGUAAUACAGAGGGUGCAAGCGUUAAUCGGAAUUACUGGGCGUAAAGCGCGCGUAGGUGGUUCGUUAAGUUGGAUGUGAAAGCCCCGGGCUCAACCUGGGAACUGCAUCCAAAACUGGCAAGCUAGAGUACGGUAGAGGGUGGUGGAAUUUCCUGUGUAGCGGUGAAAUGCGUAGAUAUAGGAAGGAACACCAGUGGCGAAGGCGACCACCUGGACUGAUACUGACACUGAGGUGCGAAAGCGUGGGGAGCAAACAGGAUUAGAUACCCUGGUAGUCCACGCCGUAAACGAUGUCGACUAGCCGUUGGGAUCCUUGAGAUCUUAGUGGCGCAGCUAACGCGAUAAGUGACCGCCUU
rnacentral:rRNA from 1 species